rnacentral:rRNA from 2 species
UGGGGAAUAUUGGGCAAUGGGCGAAAGCCUGACCCAGCAACGCCGCGUGAGGGAAGAAGGUUUUCGGAUUGUAAACCUCUGUCCUCAAGGACGAAGAAAGUGACGGUACUUGAGGAGGAAGCCCCGGCUAACUACGUGCCAGCAGCCGCGGUAAUACGUAGGGGGCGAGCGUUGUCCGGAAUGACUGGGCGUAAAGGGCGCGUAGGCGGCCGAUUAAGUCUGGAGUGAAAGUCCUGCUUUCAAGGUGGGAAUUGCUUUGGAAACUGGUUGGCUUGAGUGCGGAAGAGGUAAGUGGAAUUCCCAGUGUAGCGGUGAAAUGCGUAGAGAUUGGGAGGAACACCAGUGGCGAAGGCGACUUACUGGGCCGUAACUGACGCUGAUGCGCGAAAGCGUGGGGAGCGAACAGG